rnacentral:rRNA from 1 species
UACGUAGGGGGCAAGCGUUGUCCGGAAUCAUUGGGCGUAAAGGGAGCGUAGGCGGGCUUUUAAGUUAGGUGUUUAAUCCCGGGGCCCAACCCCGGACCGGCACCUAAAACUGGGAGUCUUGAAUAGUGGAGAGGUCAGUGGAAUUGGGGGUGUAGCGGUGGAAUGCGUAGAGAUCCCCAAGAACACCAGUUGCGAAGGCGGCUGACUGGACACAUAUUGACGCUGAGGCUCGAAAGCAUGGGGAGCAAACAGG